rnacentral:rRNA from 1 species
UGGGGAAUAUUGGACAAUGGGCAAAAGCCUGAUCCAGCCAUGCCGCGUGAGUGAUGAAGGCCCUAGGGUUGUAAAGCUCUUUCACCGGUGAAGAUAAUGACGGUAACCGGAGAAGAAGCCCCGGCUAACUUCGUGCCAGCAGCCGCGGUAAUACGAAGGGGGCUAGCGUUGUUCGGAGUUACUGGGCGUAAAGAGUGCGUAGGCGGCGAGCCAAGUUUGGUGUGAAAUCUCCCGGCUUAACCGGGAGGGUGCGCCGAAAACUGGUUGGCUGGAGUAUGGGAGAGGAAAGCGGAAUUCCUGGUGUAGCGGUGAAAUACGUAGAUAUGCGGAGGAACACCGAUGGCGAAGGCAAUCCCCUGGGCCUGCACUGACGCUCAUGCACGAAAGCGUGGGGAGCAAACA